AUUGGACGCUGGCGGCAGGCCUAACACAUGCAAGUCGAGCGAGCGGCGGACGGGUGAGUAAUGUAUGGGGACUGCCCGAUAGAGGGGGAUAACUACUGGAAAAGGUAGCUAAUACCGCAUACUAUCGGAUAACCCAUAUGGGAUGAGCUAGUAGGUGAGGUAAUGGCUCACCUAGGCGACGAUCCCUAGCUGGUCUGAGAGGAUGAUCAGCCCACACGGGACGGAGCCCCGGCCCAGACUCCGACGGGGGCAGCAGGGGGGAAUUUUGCCCAAUGGGGGCAAGCCUGAUGGAGCCACGCCGGGUUGUUGAAGAAGGCCCUAGGGUUGUAAAGGACUUUCAGUCGGGAAGCGUUACCCACAUAAGAAGCCACGGCUAACUCCGUGCCAGCAGCCGCGGUAAUAC
rnacentral:rRNA from 1 species